UGGCGGCGUGCCUAAUACAUGCAAGUAGAACGCUGAAGCUUGGUGCUUGCACCGAGCGGAUGAGUUGCGAACGGGUGAGUAACGCGUAGGUAACCUGCCUCUUAGCGGGGGAUAACUAUUGGAAACGAUAGCUAAUACCGCAUAAAAGUCGAUAUCGCAUGAUAUUGAUUUGAAAGGUGCAAAUGCAUCACUAAGAGAUGGACCUGCGUUGUAUUAGCUAGUUGGUGAGGUAACGGCUCACCCAGGCGACGAUACAUAGCCGACCUGAGAGGGUGAUCGGCCACACUGGGACUGAGACACGGCCCAGACUCCUACGGGAGGCAGCAGUAGGGAAUCUUCGGCAAUGGGGGCAACCCUGACCGAGCAACGCCGCGUGAGUGAAGAAGGUUUUCGGAUCGUAAAGCUCUGUUGUAAGAGAAGAACGAGUGUGAGAGUGGAAAGUUCACGCUGUGACGGUAUCUUACCAGAAAGGGACGGCUAACUACGUGCCAGCAGCCGCGGUAAUACGUAGGUCCCGAGCGUUAUCCGGAUUUAUUGGGCGUAAAGCGAGCGCAGGCGGUUAGAUAAGUCUGAAGUUAAAGGCUGUGGCUUAACCAUAGUACGCUUUGGAAACUGUUUAACUUGAGUGCAGAAGGGGAGAGUGGAAUUCCAUGUGUAGCGGUGAAAUGCGUAGAUAUAUGGAGGAACACCGGUGGCGAAAGCGGCUCUCUGGUCUGUAACUGACGCUGAGGCUCGAAAGCGUGGGGAGCAAACAGGAUUAGAUACCCUGGUAGUCCACGCCGUAAACGAUGAGUGCUAGGUGUUGGGUCCUUUCCGGGGCUCAGUGCCGCAGCUAACGCAUUAAGCACUC
rnacentral:rRNA from 1 species